GUAUUUUUUUCACCUGGGAAUGGAAAGGACAAGAUAUUUCAUUUUCAUUUAUUUCAUUAUUUUCAAAUUAUACUUUAUUCAUACUCUUUUUAGCUAUUCAGCUAUACUCUGGCUUUUAUUUUAGUAAUGUUUAUAUCCUGCCAAUGUAUACAUUAAUCAUUGCAUUUAUCUGUUUAAAAGAUGUCAGGGAAAAAGCAAAGAAGUAUUUUUUCAUUCUGGGCACCAAAGGGUCAGCCCCCUAUAAAGGUUGCCAGAUCAGAGGAGACAGUGGAAGAUGUGGUGGCAGAGACUACAAGAAAAACAGUAGGGAAGAAAUCAGAAGAGAACAGAGAGAAUAUAGCAUUUAAGUUUUGAUGGUCACUAAACAAACCCUGUUGUUUCUCCCACUAUAUCUUAAACAGUUCAGUGCAUAUUGUUGUUUUAGGUUUGCUGAAUUGCUUCCAUACCAGGGACCCCAAGAGCAUGAUCAACUUAGUGAGGAGUUCCUCGAAUAUCAAUUGAUGGACAUCACUAUGCCCCAAGACCCAUCCACUUUUGACAUUGAGGGUUUUUGGGGAAAUAUGACAUCAGUAAAGAACAGGGUGACUGGAUUAAGCAGAUUUGGAAGGCUGUCCAAGAUUGCCAAACUGGUUUUAGUUCUUCCCCACUCAAAUGCAGAUGCAGAGAGAGUGUUUUCCAUGGUUGGUUUGAACAAAACCAAAACUAGGAAUAGUUUGGCUCUGGAUGGAACACUCUCUUCCAUCAUGAUGGUGAAAAUGGCAAGCAUUGAACCACAGUGCUUUAAGUGGGAGCCGCCUACCUCUGUAAUCAAGGCCUCAAAACAUGCAACAAACACUUACAAUAUAAAACAUUCAUAAACCAAAUGUACUCUCUCACACAUGCUCACACAAACACACCUUGUAUUGUAAGUAUGCUCAGGGCAAGUUCUGCAAUGUUGCUGUUCAGUUGGCUCAUUUGGGGCAAUUUUUUAUAUAUUUGUAUUUUUGAAAUAAAACAAUGUAUUUAAUU